rnacentral:rRNA from 1 species
CUCAUUAUAUCAGUUAUAGUUUAUUUGAUGGUCUUUACUACUUGGAUAACCGUAGUAAUUCUAGAGCUAAUACAUGCAUCAAUCCCCGACUCACGAAGGGGUGUAUUUAUUAGAUGGAAACCAAUGCGGGGCAACCCGGAACCUGGUGAUUCAUAAUAACUUUCGGACCGAUGAAAAUCGGUGCAUCAUUCAAGUUUCUGCCCUAUCAGCUUUGGAUGGUAGGGUAUUGGCCUACCAUGGCUUUAACGGGUAACGGAGAAUUAGGGUUCGAUUCCGGAGAGGGAGCCUGAGAAACGGCUACCACAUCUAAGGAAGGCAGCAGGCGCGUAAAUUACCCAAUCCUGACACAGGGAGGUAGUGACAAUAAAUAACAAUGCUGGGCUUUUUAAGUUUGGCAAUUGGAAUGAGAACAAUUUAAAUCCCUUAUCGAGGAUCAAUUGGAGGGCAAGUCUGGUGCCAGCAGCCGCGGUAAUUCCAGCU